UACCCUACAGUGAGGAAUACCGGCGAGAAAUUGCCGACAAGACCGCAUACGCGCUCUGGUUCAAUCCAGAGCGCAAAGCUUCGUGGCGACAUGAGGCGCUGUGGGAUGGGCCCGUGGUCGAUUAGCUAGUUGGCGAGGUAAAAGCUCCCCAAGGCGACGAUCGAUAGCUGGUCUGAGAGGACGAUCAGCCACACUGGGAUUGAGAACGGCCCAG
rnacentral:rRNA from 1 species